AAGGGAUGAGCCCAGCGCAUACCUCACGGUCUUUUGGGCCGCUGAGGGGUGUUGCGUUUUGGUGGAUCCGUACCGCUCGAGCUGCUGACCGCCUAAGUCAUUGCUUGAAUGCAGCCCCAAGGAGGGUGGUAGGCCCGUGUGCCGGUGCCUGUAAAAAGGUUUUAGGCAGCUUGGGCGGAGGGGUCUUACCGUAGAGUCGGGUUGCUUAGUACUGCAGCCCUAAGUAGGUGGUAAACUCCAUCUAAGGCUAAAUACUACCACGAGUCCGAUAUUUGACAAGUACCGUGAGGGAAAGCUGAAAAGGACUCUGAAGAGAGAGUUCAAGAGGACGUGAAACCAUUAGAAGCUCAAACGGGUGGAACCGUGAAGGUCGAAAGAGGGGAUUCAGCUGGCAGGCUGCGGGCAGUGGCGGUGGUACAAGUUGCAUUUCAGUGAGAGGACCCGGCGAUGUAGUGUUGCCGGUGCUCCGCCGCCGUUGUUCCGUGGCCUGCGGGCUUACUUCUCCCUCGAGUAGUGUUGGUCGCGACCCGCUGCCUAGGCCCCGAGGUCCGCUCUGGACUGGUAGCCCGCGCCUGUGCGUGGGUGAUGACCGGAUGCGGUGCUGACUGGGCUUGGGCGGCGGUCACUGCAAGGAGGCCG
rnacentral:rRNA from 1 species